GGCAACCUCGGGUGGAGCGUUGGCUUAAUGCUAAUGCUGUGCCGCAGGGAAGCCGUUAAGUUUGCCGCCUGGGAAGUACGGUCGCAAGAUUGAAACUUAAAGGAAUUGGCGGGGGAGCACCACAAGGGGUGAAGCCUGCGGUUCAAUUGGAGUCAACGCCAGGAAUCUUACCCGGGGAGACAGCAGAAUGAAGGUCAAGCUGAAGACUUUACCAGACAAGCUGAGAGGAGGUGCAUGGCA
rnacentral:rRNA from 1 species